rnacentral:rRNA from 1 species
GAUAAACGCUGGCGGCGCACAUAAGACAUGCAAGUCGAACGGACUUAACUCAUUCUUUACGAUUGAGAGCGGUUAGUGGCGGACUGGUGAGUAACACGUAAGCAACCUGCCUAUUAGAGGGGAAUAACAGUGAGAAAUCAUUGCUAAUACCGCAUAUGCUCACAGUACCACAUGGUACAGUGAGGAAAGGAGUAAUCCGCUAAUAGAUGGGCUUGCGUCUGAUUAGCUAGUUGGUGGGGUAACGGCCUACCAAGGCGACGAUCAGUAGCCGGACUGAGAGGUUGAACGGCCACAUUGGGACUGAGAUACGGCCCAGACUCCUACGGGAGGCAGCAGUCGGGAAUAUUGCGCAAUGGAGGAAAGCCUGACCCAGCAACGCCGCGUGAAGGAUGAAGGUCUUCGGAUUGUAAAACCUUAGUCAACAGGGAAGAAGCAAGUNACGGUACCUGUGGAGGAAGGCCCAACGGGCUAACUAACGUGCCAGCAGCCG